GACCGAUCACUCUGAAAUAAAACUUUCAGAAGAGGAAACCGAACCAGUGUCUGUGAUCACCCGUGUCCCAAGCUCUGUCCAUCCUUGGUUUGAGAGUUAUGGAGAAGAUGAUGGAGUUUUGUAUGGAGGGGAGCACAUCUUCACUUUCACUCUCCAGGCAUCUGAAGGACAAGACUUUCCCAAAAGGCCCAAAAAACUGUGAUGGACAUUUACUUCCAGUUCAUUUGUUACACCUGUAAUGAAAAAAUGUAUCAAGCACUUGAUAAUGUUAUUUUAGCAACACUUAUGAAUAUUCAGGCUUUUUGAGUAUUCAUUUUUAUUGCUUGCAAACUUUUUUUUACCAUUUUAAAUCACAGAUUUAGAUCAACCGUGCUGUUGUAGGCAACAAAAACAACACUGAGCUUUAGCAAUGUGCAUAAAAACUGGACAAUGGUGACGUAUUUUUGUAGGCCACCCCCCGAAGUCCCUGCUUCCUAUGACCAAAACCUCACUGGACUCUUCCAACUGACUUUUGGACUAUUGCAGAGAAUUGACAAAGGUUUCUAAUUCUUGCAUUUUGUUUAUCGUGAUAAUCUUCACAAAUUGCAAUGAGCAGAAGUAAAAAGCUGUAAGUGUGAGCUAUAAAUGAACUAAACCGUGGUCGCAUGCCUUCACCGUCACCAUCACGAUCUCCUCACGACUGAAGUCUUUAUAAUUAGUCCUUGGGUUUGCUUAGUUUUCUUUGGUUUAAUGCUUUAGAGCAGGGGCGGCAACCUUUUUUAUCAAAAGAGCCACUUUGUUUCAUGUUGCAAAAGUAAGUUUGUCGGGUUGGCGUAGUUUUUCCAUAUCACUCCAUUUGUGCUCUUUAGCGAGAGCAGCCCUCUGACGGGCGACUUCUUCAAGAUCCGCUGACAGGGAUUUGAACUUGUUACCCCCAAAAGCAGAUGCAAAAGCAGAUGUGCACGCUGCAUUAAACUCUCUAUUUUCUUCCGACACUUUUCUUUUUGGGCUCUUUUCAUGCUUACAGUGGUAGGGGUUCCGCGUGGUCCCGCCAGCAAGUAAAGGCGACGACUGCUGACGUUGAUGUGACAUAUAUUUUAAGUGACAAAUUAUAAAAAAAAAAAAACUUUAUUAGAUGGUAUCAACUAAAACCCCAGAGGAUUUGUGCAACAGAGCCGCAGGUUGCCUACCCCUGCUUUAGAGUAUUAAAGCACUUUGGUCCACAUUAAAGGUUCCGAUGUUUAUUUUUUUGUAUUGCCAAUUUACAAACGCUUUUGGGAAUUUUUCAUGUAAAAUGUAUUUUAGAUCAUUAUUUCCUUUGUUAAAUGGCACAGCUGAAACUGUAAG